CGAGAGACAACGGACCACACGGCUGGAGCCCGACUCCGGCUCCCUGGCACGUCAGACUCACAAACACGGUUCUGUGACACGCAACAUACGCGGUGAGAGGGUCGAGUUGUCACCGAAGUCGGGUGACAUGAUGCAGUCACGAUGCGGUAGCCUGUGGAGGACGGUCGCGCUCGUAAUAACUCUGUGCACAAAACCCCGGCCAGGCGCGCUUGAACACCUGCUUUGGCCCAAUGAGAACUGAGCACCAAGCAGCCCUGGAAGAGCCCCCUGCCCCCCCCUCCCCGGCUCCGUGGCCCCUGGGCGCCCCCAGCUCGGGGAGGAGCCCCUGCGGCCCGUCCUCCGCCGAGUCCCGCACACCUCCCGCCGUCAGGACCACCGCAGCCUCGGCGCCCGGCUCGUCCGUUCCAGCAGCAGCGAAACCUUCCGGGCGGUCGAGACCCCGCGUGGCGGAGGCAGCGGGCACCCUGGCCCUCGCGGCUCAGAAGCACAGGUGCACGAGGCAGAGUCCGCGCUCCUGGCGGAGGACCGUGAGCACACCGCCCUGCCCUGCGUGCGGAAGUCUCGAGAAAGCACGUAGGUCUGUCGACUCAGAGAAAGAGGCCGUGACCGUGAGAUGAGCGGACACCCAGGUCCUCGCGAUCUCGUCUCGGCCGGAACCGACCUGGCUGUCACCAGCACACAAGGGGUGAUGUCAAGGCUGGGGACCCGGAGGGAAGCCCAGGGAAACCAUUCUGGAGGCGCUUUGUCUCCUUUGUACUUUUUCAGGGGCCCGGCCGCGUGCGUGUGUCGCCUCCGAAAGGAAACUUGCAUCUGUGGAUUCCACGCGGUCCACGAACCCACAGCCCUGGGCAGCAGCACACAUUUGCCUGAAAUCCCGGCAGGCGCUUCGGCCGCGGGCAGAUUCCCUCCUUCCGUUUUGUGUGUUUUCCAAAGUUCCUAUGGCAGCACAGCGUCCUCUGAGCACCACUUUGCAGGGCCCUGUGUGCAUGCUGUUCCACCCGCUGCAGACUCGACGGCAGGGCGCUCACUGCAGUCCAGUCCCAGUGGUUCCGGUUCCCAUUAGACACUAUUCUGUGACCCAUGCAUCCUUCGCAAGUUCACAUUUUACUUCCCAGCUACAAAAUCACGGACUCGACUUUCAGCCGCUCGGCGGCCGCGGCACAGCGCUCUCGACGGAGGACAGCUCCCCGUGGGUGGCCCGGGGCCGGGCGCUGUCUCAGCUCUGGUCUGAUCCAGACUCGUCUUCGGCCUUGCCCCUCUCUCGGGGUCCCUCAUGGGGGGUUUCUCCUUGUUCCCUGCACCUGUGCUCGCUCGGGACGGCUGUGCCUCCCGUCAGCGCAAUUGUGCGGGAGGCGACUCCCACC
rnacentral:lncRNA from 1 species